UCCUAGGGGAACCACUCAAUCCUAAAAGGGAGCAUUAUUAUCCUAACCAUACAAUCCUUAAUCCAAAGACUAAAAAAUCGGAAAUACCAAACACUUUAUGCUUCCGAUAGAAUAGUAGCUCUAUACUAUAAUAUUAAUAUAUAUAUAUAGUAUAUAUAUAUAUAGAGAGAGAGAGAGAGAGAGAGAGAGAACUAGGCUGAAAUACUAUUAAUAGCACCAAUGACUUUGUGCUAUUAAGUUUUCUGCCCUUGGAUUAAAAGAUGUGUGGUUAGGAUAAUGUGGGGCCUCUAGGGUUGAGUGGGUGGUUAGUUGAAUAGUAUAAUUGAACGGUUAAAAAUGAUAAAAAGGGUAAAUCUAACGGCAGAAAAUUUGAUAGCACCAAAUGCUUCGUGCUAUCGAUAGUAUCCUAGCCGGACUAUAUAUAUAUAUAUAUAUGAAGUCUGGCUAUGAUGCUUUUAAAAGCAUUAAGCACUUGAUGCUUAUAAGUUUUUCACCGUUAAAUUUUAUCCUCUUAACCAAUUCCAUCCCAUACCACCAAC
rnacentral:lncRNA from 1 species